CAGACGGGUGAGUAACGCGUGGGAACGUGCCCUUUGGUUCGGAAUAGCCCUUGGAAACGAGGAGUAAUGCCGAAUGUGCCCUUCGGGGGAAAGAUUUAUCGCCAAAGGAUCGGCCCGCGUUAGAUUAGCUAGUUGGUGAGGUAAUGGCUCACCAAGGCGACGAUCUAUAGCUGGUCUGAGAGGAUGAUCAGCCACACUGGGACUGAGACACGGCCCAGACUCCUACGGGAGGCAGCAGUGGGGAAUCUUGGACAAUGGGCGCAAGCCUGAUCCAGCCAUUCCGCGUGGAUGAUGAAGGCCCUAGGGUUGUAAAAUCCUUUCGGCAGGGAAGAUAAUGACGGUACCUGCUAAAGAAGCCCCGGCUAACUCCGUGCCAGCAGCCGCGGUAAUACGGAGGGGGCUAGCGUUGUUCGGAAUUACUGGGCGUAAAGCGCGCGUAGGCGGAUCGAUCAGUCAGAGGUGAAAUCCCGGAGCUCAACUUCGGAACUGCCUUUGAUACUGUCGAUCUGGAGUCCGGGAGAGGUGCAUGGAAUUCCGAGUGUAGAGGUGAAAUUCGUAGAUAUUCGGAGGAACACCAGAGGCGAAGGCGAUGCACUGGACCGGUACUGACGCUGAGGUGCGAAAGCGUGUGGAGCAAACAGGAUUAGAUACCCUGGUAGUCCACGCCGUAAACGAUGAG
rnacentral:rRNA from 1 species